rnacentral:rRNA from 1 species
GACGAACGCUGGCGGCGUGCCUAAUACAUGCAAGUAGAACGCUGAAGGAGGAGCUUGCUUCUCUGGAUGAGUUGCGAACGGGUGAGUAACGCGUAGGUAACCUGCCUGGUAGCGGGGGAUAACUAUUGGAAACGAUAGCUAAUACCGCAUAAUAGUAGAUGUUGCAUGACAUUUGCUUAAAAGGUGCAAUUGCAUCACUACCAGAUGGACCUGCGUUGUAUUAGCUAGUUGGUGGGGUAACGGCUCACCAAGGCGACGAUACAUAGCCGACCUGAGAGGGUGAUCGGCCACACUGGGACUGAGACACGGCCCAGACUCCUACGGGAGGCAGCAGUAGGGAAUCUUCGGCACUGGACGGAAGUCUGACCGAGCAACGCCGCGUGAGUGAAGAAGGUUUUCGGAUCGUAAAGCUCUGUUGUAAGAGAAGAACGAGUGUGAGAGUGGAAAGUUCACACUGUGACGGUAUCUUACCAGAAAGGGACGGCUAACUACGUGCCAGCAGCCGCGGUAAUACGUAGGUCCCGAGCGUUGUCCGGAUUUAUUGGGCGUAAAGCGAGCGCAGGCGGUUAGAUAAGUCUGAAGUUAAAGGCUGUGGCUUAACCAUAGUACGCUUUGGAAACUGUUUAACUUGAGUGCAAGAGGGGAGAGUGGAAUUCCAUGUGUAGCGGUGAAAUGCGUAGAUAUAUGGAGGAACACCGGUGGCGAAAGCGGCUCUCUGGCUUGUAACUGACGCUGAGGCUCGAAAGCGUGGGGAGCAAACAGG